rnacentral:rRNA from 1 species
AUGGAAGUCGGAAUCCGCUAAGGACUGUGUAACAACUCACCUGCCGAAUGAACUAGCCCUGAAAAUGGAUGGCGCUCAAGCGUGCUACCCAUACCUCGCCGUCGGGGUAGAAACGAUGCCCCGACGAGUAGGCAGGCGUGGAGGUCCGUGACGAAGCCUUGGGAGUGAUCCCGGGUCGAACGGCCUCUAGUGCAGAUCUUG